CAGUUCUUUUACUUCAGCGACUGUGUAUCCGUACUCGCUGGUCGAAGUGUUGCUCGCGGACAACACGUAGAAGUCAAAACUAUGCAAAUGGAAUGGAUGACUGUCGUCGAGAUCGGAAGGCACACGU